rnacentral:rRNA from 1 species
GAAACCCGCGGGGAUGAACUAUUCCCUGCGGCUGACGGUACCGCUAAAGGAAGCCCCGGCUAACUCCGUGCCAGCAGCCGCGGUAAUACGGGGGGGGCAAGCGUUGUUCGGAAUACUGGGCGUAAAGGGCUCGUAGGCGGCCAACUAAGUCGGAUGUGAAAUCCCCAGGCUCAACCUGGGAACUGCAUCCGAUACUGGAUGGCUUGAAUCCGGGAGAGGGAUGCAGAAUUCCAGGUGUAGCGGUGAAAUGCGUAGAUAUCUGGAGGAAUACCGGUGGCGAAGGCGGCAUCCUGGACCGGCAUUGACGCUGAGGAGCGAAAGCCAGGGGAGCAAACGGGAUUAGAUACCCCGGUAGUCCUGGCCCUAAACGAUGAAUGCUUGGUGUGACGGGUAUCGAUCCCUGUCGUGCCGAAGCUAACGCAUUAAGCAUUCCGCCUGGGGAGUACGGUCGCAAGGCUG